rnacentral:rRNA from 1 species
GACGAACGCUGGCGGCGUGCUUAAAAAAGGAAAGUAGAACGAAAAGAGGGAAAGAGCUUGCUCUUUGAGGAAUUGAGUGGUAAACGGGUGAGUAACAAGUAAAAAAUCUGCCUUCAGGAUGGGGACAACAGACGGAAACGACUGCUAAUACCGAAUAAGUUCCAAGGGCCGCAUGGCCCAUGGAAGAAAAGGUGGCCUCUACCUGUAAGCUAUCGCCUGAAGAGGGGUUUGCGUCUGAUUAGCUGGUUGGAGGGGUAACGGCCCACCAAGGCGACGAUCAGUAGCCGGUCUGAGAGGAUGAACGGCCACACUGGAACUGAGACACGGUCCAGACUCCUACGGGAGGAAGCAGUGGGGAAUCUUACGCAAUGGGCGAAAGCCUGACGGAGCAACGCCGCGUGAGUGAGGACGGCCUUCGGGUUGUAAAACUCUGUGAUCCGGGACGAAAAGGCAGAGUGCGAAGAACAAACUGCAUUGACGGUACCGGAAAAGCAAGCCACGGCUAACUACGUG